UACGAAGGGGCUAGCGUUGCUCGGAAUCACUGGGCGUAAAGGGUGCGUAGGCGGGUCUUUAAGUCAGGGUGAAAUCCUGGAGCUCAACUCCAGAACUGCCUUUGAUACUGAAGAUCUUGAGUUCGGAGAGGUGAGUGGAACUGCGAGUGUAGAGGUGAAAUUCGUAGAUAUUCGCAAGAACACCAGUGGCGAAGGCGGCUCACUGGCCCGGAACUGACGCUGAGACGCGAAAGCGUGGGAGCAAACAGGG
rnacentral:rRNA from 1 species